rnacentral:misc_RNA from 1 species
UCCCCAAGUAUAAAGUUCCCCUGAUUCAGCGACUGCAGCAGUAUGUGUGCCACUAGUGGCAAUAUGCUGUAUUUUCCCAUUCCAAAAGCCUUCAACCAAUCUAGGAAGNNNNNNAGGAAGCAGUUCUCUGUGAUAAACAGAAUGUCCCAGUGCACCAAAACCACCAUAACCCCAUGUGAAGACCUGACCGAGGGAAGUGAGGGCAACGGAAUGGAUGCCACCUAGAGCAAUACACCGAACGCCAUCCAGAUUAGGGUUCAGCGUGNNNNNNNNNACAGGAUUCUCAUGUCCAAAGCCUAGACGGCCCCCAUCACCUUUUCCCCAAAUCCAAAAACUACCAUCUACAAGCAGUGCAGAAUGAAAUAAUCCACAAGAAAUUCCCACUUCAAGAACUUGUUUGUUAAUGCAAUUGUGAUCCUUGUUAACAAGUUGCCCUGGCGUUGGUGAGAGUAUGAAAGAGGAGGGCAACACCUGGAGGUUGACUAUUAGGGCUGGGUACAAUUGCAUUUGUUCACUGCCACCACCAAGCUGGCCAGAUGUGCCUCUUCCCCAGGAGAAGAGCUGGAGCAUUACAGCCUCAUUUUUGUUGUGGUCAUUGAUUUCUGAGCUUUUGUAGAGUAUAGGCACCUUGUUUCUGGUGGCAGAUGAUGAGGAGAUGCGGCGAGUGAAUGGCCUGGACAGAAAUCAAGGAAUGCAUUUGGUUUCUGCCCAAAGAGAAUCCAACAUAAGCCAUAGACUUGCCUCUAACAAUUUCCAGGAACUGAGCGGGGUCGAAAACAGUUAGAUCACACCCAUCUGGUUUCCAUGUCCAUUUCAUGAACUCAGUCCCAGGUCUGCAUAUCUCAUGCAAUUUUGAUGCUCAUGUAUUGACAAAACAUUAUGUUCUGUUUGUGUAGUAUAGGGGUCCAGGAUUUGGCACCCACUCCUGAGUCUUGACUCUCCAGAGAAUAUAUCGCAUUUCUUAGCUAUCGAUUUUUAUAUGCGUAUCAGGUUAGUGGAGUCGGUAACCGGACGUUCAAGUCGUUUCCCCUCUUUUAUUUCGCUAAUGCUUUUAUUGACGUUCAAGCGGGCUAGACGAACAUGGAAAUGGUGAGUGGGAGGCGAAGACCAAUGGUGAAGGGGGAACGUUUGUGGCGGUAGUGGCGGGCGGUGGUGUUAGGGUUUUAGGGAGAGUUUAGAGAAUGCGAGGAGACAAGAGGGCCGAGAGGGUGGAGCACUGGACCCCGGGGUGGAACUGGAGAGGA